rnacentral:rRNA from 1 species
ACCCCCGUGAGAAUGCCCUACAGCCCCCCGCCCGGGGGCAGGGAGCUGGUAUCAGGCUCUUUAUAUAAUAGCCCACAACACCUUGCUUAGCCACACCCCCAAGGGAUUUCAGCAGUGAUAAAUAUUAAGCCAUAAGCGAAAGCUUGACUUAGUUAAAGCUUACAGAGCCGGUAAAACUCGUGCCAGCCACCGCGGUUAUACGAGAGGCCCAAGCUGACAGUCGCCGGCGUAAAGAGUGGUUAAUACCCUACUACACUAAAGCCGAACAUCUCCAAAGUUGUCUAACACACUCGAAGACAUGAAGACCUACCACGAAAGUGACUUUACACUCUUUGAAUCCACGAAAGCUAGGAAACAAACUGGGAUUAGAUACCCCACUAUGCCUAGCCUUAAACUUAGAUAGAAUUCUACCCACAUCUAUCCGCCCGGGUACUACGAGCACCAGCUUAAAACCCAAAGGACUUGGCGGCGCUUCACACCCACCUAGAGGAGCCUGUUCUAGAACCGAUGACCCCCGUUCAACCUCACCUUCUCUUGUUUAACCC